UGCCCUAGAGUGGGGGACAACAGUUGGAAACGACUGCUAAUACCGCAUAAGCCCACGGUACCGCAUGGUACUGAGGGAAAAGGAUUUAUUCGCUUUAGGAUGGACUCGCGUCCAAUUAGCUAGUUGGUGAGGUAACGGCCCACCAAGGCGACGAUUGGUAGCCGGACUGAGAGGUUGAACGGCCACAUUGGGACUGAGACACGGCCCAGACUCCUACGGGAGGCAGCAGUGGGGGAUAUUGCACAAUGGGGGAAACCCUGAUGCAGCGACGCCGCGUGGAGGAAGAAGGUUUUCGGAUUGUAAACUCCUGUCGUUAGGGACGAUAAUGACGGUACCUAACAAGAAAGCACCGGCUAACUACGUGCCAGCAGCCGCGGUAAAACGUAGGGUGCAAGCGUUGUCCGGAAUUACUGGGUGUAAAGGGAGCGCAGGCGGGAAGACAAGUUGGAAGUGAAAACCAUGGGCUCAACCCAUGAAUUGCUUUCAAAACUGUUUUUCUUGAGUAGUGCAGAGGUAGAUGGAAUUCCCGGUGUAGCGGUGGAAUGCGUAGAUAUCGGGAGGAACACCAGUGGCGAAGGCGGUCUACUGGGCACCAACUGACGCUGAGGCUCGAAAGCAUGGGUAGCAAACAGGAUUAGAUACCCUGGUAGUCCAUGCCGUAAACGAUGAUUACUAGGUGUUGGGGGAUUGACCCCCUCAGUGCCGCAG
rnacentral:rRNA from 1 species